UACGUAGGGUGCAAGCGUUGUCCGGAAUUAUUGGGCGUAAAGAGCUCGUAGGCGGUUUGUCGCGUCUGCCGUGAAAGUCCGGGGCUCAACUCCGGAUCUGCGGUGGGUACGGGCAGACUAGAGUGCAGUAGGGGAGACUGGAAUUCCUGGUGUAGCGGUGAAAUGCGCAGAUAUCAGGAGGAACACCGAUGGCGAAGGCAGGUCUCUGGGCUGUAACUGACGCUGAGGAGCGAAAGCAUAGGGAGCGAACAGG
rnacentral:rRNA from 1 species